rnacentral:ncRNA from 1 species
CUUCAGCAUCACGAGUGACCGGGAAACCGGUCCGGCAACCGGGGUUGGUCCACGGUGCCAGCUCAAUCGGCAACGGUUGGGGAUGUGGCGGGAAACCGCAACGGGCCCGGUCC